GUGUGGGCUAGGCCCGUAUCUCCCGGCUAGCGAAGUGUGGGCAGGGCCCGUAUCUUCCCGAGUGUGGGCAAGGCCCGUAACUCCUAGCUGAGCAAUGGUUGUCAUAUGUUGCAUGGUAUGUGGUAUUAUGGGGGAACUCACUAAGCUUUGUGCUUACAGUUUUCAGUUUUGGUUUCAGGUACCUCCUCAGCUAGGGGAAAGGAGCCGGCGCGGUAGCGACACGUCACACACACACUCUCAGAUUUCCGCAUUUACGAGCUUCACUGGGAUUUGUACUCUGAUAUUUUGAUCGAAUGUAUGAAUUGGCUUUUAGACAUGGUUCACUUGUGUGAUGACUUGAUCAGACAAUGUUUUAGCUUUUAAUAUUUUCCAAAAGUAAUGUUUUUAAAACAAAAUUUUUGGUCAUGAAAA
rnacentral:lncRNA from 1 species